UUUGCUAUUGCGGCCAGAAAUUACACAAAUGAAAAUUGGCCAAUCAAUCACUAUUGUGGAUUAGGCCUAUGAGCGGCAUCUGAAACACACGCGCCUUCUCUCUUCUCUCUCUACUCCAAAGCUCAGCGUUUUGCUUUCGAGGGGAGGCUCUAUGACUUUCCGGCGACUUGUCGGUGGCUGUAGGGUUCUCCCCUCUCGGAUCUUGUGCGACGGAACAGAGCUGUGACUUCCGGCGUUCUAUGGAGGUGUUUCUCAUGCUUCUCGGCGAGAUCGGGUGCUCUGGUAACUCGUCGGGAGUACGAUGACGGCGAUCUGUUAGGGGACGACGGAGAGCUCAUCGGAAACCGCUUGUCAGUUAUCGGGGCUAGGGUUUCCAUCUCCGAUUGAAAGGUUUGCGUUUUGGCGGCGGCGGAUCUCUCGAAUGGGAUGGCGGUUCCCUUUGAGAUGCAUCUCCGUCGUGGAACCGUCUCUUACACCACCUGAAGUGGAGGAACACGCAGGGUCUCGGACCUGUGAAGAGAUGAAGCGUUUGUAGUUACGGCAAUGAGGUUUUUUGGAGGUUGUUUUCUCUCGGAGGCCGGCGUAUUGGGGCCGCGGGACACCUUCGUGGGUGGCUUCUUCAACGGUACCCGGAGGCGGAGCUUGGGCUGGCUUGAACGCCCCUCUCUCGCGAUGUCACCGGAAAUCGAAGCUGAUAGCCACGGCGUUCACCCGAAGGAGGACCUCGUCUUCUUUCCCUCAACCUUUUAUUCCUCUUGUGCUAAGACUUGAUUCUACGUUUUGUUUCAUUGCAUGUAACCUAGAUUCAGCCAUUUCUCCGGGGAACAGCCACGUUAGGGUUGUCACUUUUUCGGAAUGCCCUUAAGAGGGAUGAAUCAAUAUAAUUUUAAUUUAAAAAAAAAAAAAGAAGAAAAUUGGCCAAUCGUUUCUUCUCUCUCAUUUCUAUCCUUUCUAUCUACACCCUCUUUGUAUCCCUUGCCUCCAUCUCUUUGGCCUCCGCAUUUUAUUCUCCGAGCCGUAAAAGACCUUUAGUUUGACGGUGUUUGAAGGUAUGGUGAAGCUUCCUCAUGGAUUAUCGUUGAAAUUUUAGAUGAAGCUCUCUGUUUGGAUAUAUUGGCUCUGGAAGUGAAGUCGUUGCUCGUCUGUGUUGGAAUUUUGUCAAGAUCUCUCGGGUGGAAAGCAUGUUUAGGUGAGCUAAUUUUAGGGUUGUAUGAACUAUUGGCAUGUUGAGUGAUCUCUUUGCUUCGAGAAUGGUGGAGGGUGUUUUGAAAUAUUUCCUUAUGACAACUGACUACAGUGACAAUCUAUUACCAGAUCUGAACUCCUUUUUUUCGCUUCAUUGCUUCUUCAUACAAUUUGCCCUUUACAGUU